AGAGAGUUGAGGUGGCAACGGCGACGCUAACGUGGCGGGGAAUAUGGUCGGGAACCUCUGCGGCGGAUCUGAGUGCCUUGAGCGUCCCACAGUCACUAAUGAGAGGCCUGACAACUAGGGUAAUAUCCGGCUUUUAUAGAAAAUUUGCAAGGUUCAAUCAAACAACAAUGGCCCAAGGACAACGGUACAUGAGGAUGUCAGGCUGGCGACCGCCGUGACCCAAAUACCCUUUCUGUAGCCGUAUCCAUGCGGCACAUUGUAUAGUACAUAUUAUGUAUAAAUACGAUGUAUGUAAAUAGUGUAAACAUAACAUGGAAAAUAAAAUGUUAAAUAGCCAAAUGCCUUGUCAUAUAAUUAGUGACGCGCACGAAAGGAUUAACGAGCUUCCCACUGUCCCUACCUACUAUCUAGCGAAACCAUUGCCAAGGGAACGGGCUUGGAAAAAUUAGCGGGGAAAGAAGAACCUGUUGAGCUUGACUCCAGUCUGGCACUGUAAGGAGACAUGAGAGGUGUAGGAUAAGUGGGAGAUGGCAACAUCGCCGGUGAAAUACCACUACUUUCAUGGUUUCCUUAAUUACUCGGUUGGGCGGAGCGCGUGCCCUGAGGGCCUCGUGCCCAGGCAGUCACGGUGUUCUAGAGCCAAGCGUGUC
rnacentral:ncRNA from 1 species